ACAGGAUUUUGUUAGAAUAAGAUAGUUCCAAUGUUUGACAGGUUGCUUUAAGAUUUUUGGAUACAUUAGUGUUACAGUGAAAGAUUGUUAUUUUGUUUUGGAACUGUUUGCACCUGGCAUUUUGCAAUUUUUGAUGUUCUUGUUAUAUUUUGUUGCAUUCUGUAUGUUGAGUUUUACUAUUGUUGUCGCAACUUUUGUAUUUGUUUUCCUUUAUGUAGUUGCUUAUUGUAAUUUCUUUUUCCCUAAUUCUUUAGUGUAGGGUAGUAGAUAGAGAGGGAAUAGAUAGUUAAGUUUUAAGUGAGAAUUAUUUGUUUUAUUUUUAGAUAAGUAAGAAAGAAUGGGUUUAGAAUAAGGGGGGAUUUAUAUAGUGAUGAGCAUAUGACAAAUCUAUAGAUUUGGUCAGAUGCUCAGAGGACAGAAUGUAAAGAUAAGUGCGAAGGGACAGAGAAAAAUGUAUGAAUUGUCUUUAAGAAGGAAGGAGGAGAAUUUAGACACAAACCCCGGAGAAGGAUUCUGGAAGGAAAGGAGGAUGUUGGGAGUUUUACUGGGCUUAACUGUCUCUUCUGAUUUGGCUUUCCUCUGAGCUGGUAAGGAGUAUCUUUGCUCUGGCAUCCUCUGGGAAAAACUAAUCUUAUGGAAAGAUUAGGGAUUCCUGUGUUGGAAAUUUGCCUUGGAGGGGAUUGCCUUUCCCUUGGAGUACAGAGAUCAACCUGUAUGAGAUCAACUGGUCAGAGAUCAACCCAAGAGUUUUGUCACCUGGGACUUUGGGUUUACCAAGGAAGCCAAUCCCAGUAUGUUCCUGAUUGUUCCAGUUUGUUCCUGAAUUGAAGAACACAGGACUACAGUCAAGAGUUAAAGCAGACAAGAGUGGUAUGUUGACCAGAUGACGAAGGACACACAGAGUUUCUACAAUCAACAUCUAAGGACAUGGAAGGACUUUGAAAGUUUGGACUUGUGAUUAUGAGGUUAAGUAAGAAUGCGAUGUACAUGUUAACAUCACAUAUAUACAUACACACACUACAUAGAAAUAUAAUGUAGGUAGAAUUCUUAAAUAAUCCCAUAUCAGAAAAAGAAAUCCAACAGGCCAUCAAAGAACUCCCUAAGAAAAAAUCCCCAGGGCCUGAUGGAUUCAUAAGUGAAUUCUAUCAAACAUUCAAAGAACAGCUAAUCCCAAUACUAUACAAACUAUUUGACAUAAAAAGCAAAGAGGGAGUUCUACCAA
rnacentral:lncRNA from 1 species